rnacentral:rRNA from 1 species
GACGAACGCUGGCGGCGUGCUUAACACAUGCAAGUCGAACGGAAAGGCCCUGCUUUUGUGGGGUGCUCGAGUGGCGAACGGGUGAGUAACACGUGAGUAACCUGCCCUUGACUUUGGGAUAACUUCAGGCAACUGGGGCUAAUACCGGAUAGGAGCUCCUGCUGCAUGGUGGGGGUUGGAAAGUUUCGGCGGUUGGGGAUGGACUCGCGGCUUAUCAGCUUGUUGGUUGGGUAGUGGCUUACCAAGGCUUUGACGGGUAGCCGGCCUGAGAGGGUGACCGGCCACAUUGGGACUGAGAUACGGCCCAGACUCCUACGGGAGGCAGCAGUGGGGAAUAGUGCACAAUGGGCGGAAGCCUGAUGCAGCAACGCCGCGUGCGGGAUGACGGCCUUCGGGUUGUAAACCGCUUUCGCCUGUGACGAAGCGUGAGUGACGGUAAUGGGUGAAGAAGCACCGGCUAACUACGUG